AAAUGGGGAAUUGUGAGCAUUUAGAAGGAAAACGUUAAACUUUGCUCUAUAGUUGUGCUAAAUUUGAAGUAUUUAUCUGGAAAAGUCUGGGAAGAGAAGGGAAGGAUUUUGUGCAAGGGUGCAGACUUGGGUCCUCAGUGCAGAAACAGAGCUGGUGUGGAAGACAGUAUGCAGAGUCCAAGGAGGAUGGUAACAAGGAAGCCCUGAUGUUUCCCUGUGUCAGAUUUUUAGGGAAUAGUUGGGAAAACUUCCAGAAGAAGAUAGAAAAAGAAUAGAAUAGAAUAUUCUAGAAUUGGGGAAACCACUGAUUUGUGAAAGUGACUUUCCUUGGGGCUCCUCAUAGUUGGGUAUCAAGUAGGCCCUCGGAAAUGACUGUUGGGAUCAGACUCAUGAUCCUGCCUCUUACUGUCUGACAUAAUCUCAUGUGAUUUGGUCAUGCUGCUUACCUUUCCUGAGAUAAUAAUGGUCAUUGGCUCUCUUACCUUUUCUCCUCCAACCCCCCUGUAAUGCUGUAGCUGUGCAGAAUCGGGAUGCUGCCUGGUACCAGCUGCUGGUGGCACCACUCAGUGAGGAUCAGAAAAGAAAGCUGCAGGAGGUGUACACGUUGGCAGAGCACCGAAGGACACUGGCAGGUCAGCCAGUCCUUUCCAUAUUGGAGUUGUGUGUCCGAGGGCCACCAUCUGGCUUACGUGAUUAAAAUGGCUUCAUGAAAUGAGCCCUUCAUGAUAAUGAAGAGUUCCACUGUCAUAUAGCUGGGCUUGUUUUGUGUUUAAGACAGGGUUUUGCCAUGUAGCUAGGCUGGCCUGAACUCAUAAUCCUCUUAAUUUAUUUUUAUCUGUAUGCGCUAGAGUUACUACUUUGCUAUUCCUGGGCUGAACGGUUGUUCUUCCUCUCUACUUGAGAUGCUGGGGUUUGAACUCAGCGUUGUAUAUGCUGAACAAAUAAUCUACUAGUGAGCUGGUGAGCUACAAUCCUAGUCCUUCUCCUCUUUCUCCUCUUCUUCUUCCUCUUCCAUCCCCUCCUAUCCCUCCUUCUCGUCUUCCUCCUCCUACCCCCUCUUUGUCUCUGGAGACAGGUUUUCACUUUGUAGCUGGCCUGGAACUCACUGUGUACCCUAAGCUAACUUCAAACUCAACUAUCCUUCUGCUUCAACCCUCCUGAGGGCUCAGAUUACAGGUGUGUGCCACGAUGCCUACCUGUUUUCCUUUUAAGAGAUGUUGCAAAGUUGGCUAGUCUAGCCUCAAACGUAGCAUAAACUGUGGACCUGUGAUCCCUCCUGCUUCACCCUCCCGAGUAGCUGGGAUUAUCGGAUGUCCCUGUGCCACUAGGCCUAGUUUGAUGCUUUGUUGUUUGUUUGUUUUAAAUCACAGUAGCUCUGUCAAUACCAUUUCACAGGUAAGGGUUAGUGUGUUCCCCAUUCACAUCCUCCUGAUGUUUUGGAGAAGAAAGGGUUGGGACAGGUCUUGUUGAGAACCUAACAUCUCAACCACACAUGAACUAAAAGCAUUCAGUAGAUCUUACAAGGAGCUUGUAUUCCUGAAAAUGAAAGGCCACAUUAAUCAGUUUACUAUCAAUGUAUGUACCUAAGGAAAUCAACUUAUGAGGAGGAAGAUUUUAUUUUGGCUCUUGGUUUCAGCCCCUGGCCACUUGGUCCCCUUGCCUUUGGGUCUCUGGUGAGGUAGCACCUUAUGGGAGGAGUGUGAAGUAGAGGAAAGUAACUCGGUUCAAGAGACCUAGGAAGCAGAAUGGAGAUGGGGUUGGGGUCCUAGAAUCUCCUUCAAAAGCACACCCCAUGAGGCCAGAGAAAGGAGCUCAACAAUCAAGAGUUAUUGCUAUUCUUGCAGAGAAUCUGGGUUAGGUUACCAGCACCCACAUCAGAUGGCUUACAACUACCUGUAGCUCCAGUUUCCUUUUUUGAUGCCCUUUUCUGGCUUCUUGGGCACCUGCACACAUGUGGCAUAAGCCCCUCUCACACAGGUGCAUAAACGUGUAUAUGUGCGCGCACACACACACAAAGGAUAAAAAUAAAUCUUUAAAAAAGCACACCCAAUAACCUCACUUCCUCCAGUGGCACCUCACCUCUUAAAGGUUCUACCUCCCAGUAGUUCCAUAGGCUUGGAACCAUGUGUUCAGCAUGUGGACUUCAGGGGACAUUUCUGACCUAAACCAGAGCAAAUUCUCAUUUGUAUUUGUUUGGGAUUCAUGUGUUGGUGACUGUUAAUUUUCAGUUUUUAAGAAGGAGAAAUUGUUUAAUGUUAGGAUUUCGGGCUUACCCUUGGGUUGUUAAUGGGAAAGAUUUUGUGCUUACAAAGUAUUUCAAUGGGAGACCUGGGGAGUUUUGGGUGAGGACGGUUCUGGAUCAGGGCGUGGGGGAGAGGAGUGAUGCAUCUUUUGUUAGCAACUGUGAGGAGUGUAGCCUGUAGCUGUUGGCUUGCAGCUAUAGAACUGUUUACACUUCUCUUAUGCUAGCAAAUGGGCUUUAGUUAGGUGGCAAACUAAUACCAGGAAUCAAGCUCUUCUCAAGUUUUAAAUACAUAAAAAGAGGCAGGCCUGGGAGGGGAGGAUGGUGUCUGUAAUCCUAGCACUUGGUUGUGUGGAGGCAGGACAAUCAGGAAUCAAGGCCAUCCUCAGUUGGAUAGCAAGUUAGAGGUCAGUCUGAGCUACAUGAGGCCCUGCCUGGAACAAAACAAAGCAGCCUACUAUCAUAAAAGGCUGGUUCUUUAAAGUUACUUUCAGUACUUUCACCUGAAGCAAUCUUUCAUGUCUUCCCUCCUCACUUUUUUUUUUUCCCCCUAAUAGCAGGGCAGUUUCACAUUUGAGGACAAGAGCAUCUUCUCCACGUUUAAUUUUGGAGUCGUGCCCAGCAACAACUGGAAGGCGCAUCCACCGUUCACCGAUCGGCGUCACCGCUGCUGCUUAGUACAUGGGUUGAGGGCCAAGAAGGCAAUAAGAGGCUGUGUCAUUGGCAUCAGGCGGCCACGGGCCUGCUCUCCCUUCCUUGACCCUUCUUACCCUGGAGUAUAUAUAUUUUUAACAGCUACUGUAACGUACGAAAUUUUGAAAAAAGCAGAGUCAUUGAUUGGAAAGGACAAAGCGUCUGCUCUUAAGGCUGAACGCUGAGGGGUUAGAGUUGUGUAUCGGCGCAUGUCUCAGGUUUUUGCCAUGAAGAAUCAGUGGAUUUAUGCAGAUAACAGUGCCUUCUGUUGUACAUGAAUAAUCAGAAAAAAAUUUUUUUGGAGUGCAUUGCAAUUUUUUUAAAGCAUAAAACAUAUUUCUAGAUAUCCUGUAAACCUUGGUUAUGUCAUUUCAUUCUGCAUUUUACUUGGUGAGUUGACUGUCAGGCAGGUGGUGCGGGUCUCUGGCUUCAGAAGCAUCCUUGCUUCCUUCAACCACCCUGUGCUCAGAGGCUUCUUUCAAGGCUUGGAAUUUAGGCUCUGGUUUUUCACAAGACAUCUGUGGUUAUCCUAAGAACUGUUAAGUUCCGUUUUCCAUCACUUUUCCCCUCUUGAAUGGGAUGAUGUUUCUUUCAGGAUCAUAAGUGUAUUGAUAAUAUUGAUAACCUGCUAAGUUCAGACUUUACCCACCUCUCGGCAGCCAGCAGCAGGGACUUGUUGGUCACUAGGCUUAGCAGAAAGACUGAAGGUCUUAUGAAUCAUGUGCUUAAAUGAUACUACAGGAAUUGUGGGCAUCCAAAUAUGAAAGCACACCGAAGUUCUAAGCAGAAGGUGAUUUCUGGGUGGGGGCUUGGUCAGUAGUUACCAUUCCAACCAUGUUGGACAGGGCCCAAAACAUUUUAUAUGUUUUCUUUUUUUCUUUCUCCUUUCAGCCCUCCCUUCUUUCUUUGUGAGAUAGAGUCUGUCUCUGUAUGCAACCCAGGUUGGCCUCAAGAUUGCAGUCCUGACUCAGCCUCCUGGCCACUGUUAACACACCCAGAUGCUGGGUUUUGUUAUGUAGUUCUGGCUGGACUGGAACUCACUCUGUGGCCUAGGCUGACCUCAGACUUGUGGCAGCCCGUGCUCAGCUUCUAAGGGGUUGGAAUUACAGCCACGACAAAUGGUAGAUAUUUUUUUAUUUAGUAACAAGACACAACAGAUCUAAUUUAACCAUCUGCUUUUCACAGUCUGAAAUCUCUCCAGCCUGAUUUAGCUUAUUAGUCUUUGUUAUUGCUCGGUUGUCUUUUUUAUAAAUUCUUCAAGGGUUGGUCUCUCGGUCAGCUGGGUGAAUAGGUGACUGAUGAUGUCAGUAUUGCAGAUGGCUCUUCCUGAACUGUUCAAGAGCAGAAUAUGAACCACUGUGCUUUCAUCUGGCAAAAUGAAAACAUGUUAUCAGGAUUGGACAUAUUUCUGGAUGUGAUACAGAUUUUGUUUGUGUGAAAUACCUGCAGCUUAAAUUUCCAUCAGCAACUGGCAGGAUUUUCUAGGUGAUUCCUGAAUUACAAAUCUUGUAUUUUUUUUUUUUUAAUUUAGGUUAUUUAAUUUUUUUGUCAGAAGUAGCUAUAAAAAAGCCAUAUGUUUCAGAGAGAAAUUACCCUGUAUUUUGCCAUCUCUCAUUUUUCAGGGCACCAAAGCUGCAUGCCCCCCAGCAGUUAGAAGGGCAAGAUUGCAUUGAAGGGGUUUCAGACCUCUGAAGUAGUCAGUUUUCUCCCAUGUCUUCUAUGGUUUAAUUGUAACAUAGGUAGUAUGCCUUCACACUGGAUCCCGGGGGCAUGGGUUUUGGAGAUGUUAUUUUGUGGUGAAUUGUCAUCUGCAGUAUUAAAGGGAAGACAUAUUCCUGCACAUCACCAUACCUUGUUUUUAAAGCCAGAGUCAUUGUAUGAUUUUUAUUACCAGAAGUGCUAACCGGAAUGUGAUCUGGUUACCUUGGAAAUGCAGGAACUUUUAUGAAUGUACUGUAAAAUAAAAUGUGGGCUAAUUCCC
rnacentral:lncRNA from 1 species